GACGAACGCUGGCGGCGUGCCUAAUACAUGCAAGUCGAACGCUUCUUUCCUCCCGAGUGCUUGCACUCAAUUGGAAAGAGGAGUGGCGGACGGGUGAGUAACACGUGGGUAACCUACCCAUCAGAGGGGGAUAACACUCGGAAACAGGUGCUAAUACCGCAUAACAGUUUAUGCCGCAUGGCAUAAGAGUGAAAGGCGCUUUCGGGUGUCGCUGAUGGAUGGACCCGCGGUGCAUUAGCUAGUUGGUGAGGUAACGGCUCACCAAGGCCACGAUGCAUAGCCGACCUGAGAGGGUGAUCGGCCACACUGGGACUGAGACACGGCCCAGACUCCUACGGGAGGCAGCAGUAGGGAAUCUUCGGCAAUGGACGAAAGUCUGACCGAGCAACGCCGCGUGAGUGAAGAAGGUUUUCGGAUCGUAAAACUCUGUUGUUAGAGAAGAACAAGGACGUUAGUAACUGAACGUCCCCUGACGGUAUCUAACCAGAAAGCCACGGCUAACUACGUG
rnacentral:rRNA from 1 species